rnacentral:rRNA from 1 species
GAAUACAUAGUGGCAUGAGGCGAACCGGGGGAACUGAAACAUCUAAGUACCCCGAGGAAAAGAAAUCAACCGAGAUUCCCCCAGUAGCGGCGAGCGAACGGGGAGGAGCCCAGAACCUGAAUCGGCUUGUGUGUUAGUGGAAGCGUCUGGAAAGUCGCGCAGCAAAGGGUGAUAGCCCCGUACACUAAAAUGCACAGGUCGUGAGUUCGAUGAGUAGGGCGGGACACGUGACAUCCUGUCUGAAUAUGGGGGGACCAUCCUCCAAGGCUAAAUACUCCUGACUGACCGAUAGUGAACCAGUACCGUGAGGGAAAGGCGAAAAGAA